GACGAACGCUGGCGGCGUGCUUAACACAUGCAAGUCGAACGAAGUGGCGAACGGGUGAGUAACGCGUAAUCAACCUGCCCUUCAGAGGGGGACAACAGGUGGAACCGUAUGCUAAUACCGCAUACUGAAGGAGGGGUUUGCGUCUGAUUAGCUCGUUGGAGGGGUAACGGCCAACCAAGGCGAUGAUCAGUAGCCGGUCUGAGAGGAUUAACGGCCACAAUGGGACCGAGACAAGGCCCCGACGCCUACGGGAGGCAGCAGUGGGGAAACUUCCGCAAUGGACGGAAGUCUGACGGAGCCACGCCGCGGGAGUGAUGACGGCCUUCGGGUUGUAAAGCUCUGUUAAGCGGGACGCGGUACCGGAAUAGAAAGCCACGGCUAACUACGUGCCAGCAGCCGCGGUAAUUC
rnacentral:rRNA from 1 species